rnacentral:lncRNA from 1 species
UGUGUUAGUUUUAGGUGUACAACAUAAUGAUUUGAUAUAUGUAUUUAUUGGAAAAUGAUUGCCACAGUAAGUUUUGUUAACAUCGAGUGUCAAGAGAACAGUGGAAAGAAUGAAGCAGAGAACAGGGUGGAGAGAGGCAGGUGAGAAUGAGGAUAAAUGGCAUUUAAGCUCAGUAUCUGUCUUUGUUUCACGUCCCAUUCUGACCACAGUUUUGAGCAACACAACCAGUUGGAUGCCACAGCAUCCUCAGUGAACCUGGUCCUUCUGGUUUGUGCCAACUGUCAUGUGUAUUGACAUAAUUGUACUAAGGGAGAAACACAGGAAAGUUUAGCUGAAGGUACAGAUUAAUGCCUUGGUAAUGUUAUUAAUUGCUGCCAUUGUUUCUAAGGGCCAUGACAUUGAAAACACAAUAGUGGGUUUUUUAAUACAUUUUACCUGAAAGGCUUGUGACUGACAUUACCUGGGAGGUGUUCAGUUGAGGGGUUACAAACAUAAAAUAUUGUUUGGCUGACACAUGCAAAUUCUUGGAAAAUCUUCCAAAUUUAAAGGAGGGAAAAAUACAAUAUAGUCAGAAAAAACAAACCUUUGUUUGGUUUUUCAUUUUCCCUGGGGAGCAGCUGCUGAUUUCACUCUAAUUUUAGCUGCUAUUGCUUUGAGCUAAACUUUCCAUUUUUAUUAAAAAAAAAAGAGAGAGAGAGAGAGAAAUGUUGUCUAGAGGAUUACAAGCUCCUGUGCUUUUGAUUUUUAAUAAAAAGCAAGCAUUUACCUCUGAACAGUAGCAGCAAGAAAGGGAAUUAAACCUGAGGCUAGUGAGUUGACCUUUAGAGGGGUGCCAGUCCACAGGGAGGUGAGGAAUUGAACACAGAUCCCUUUUCUUUCUCAUGUACGCACUCUCUACCUAAUCUCCUUUUUAUAUUUAUUUUAAUGGAAAAAAUUUGAUUAAAAACAAACUUUGUUCCUUAAUGUUUGUGUUUCGUGAAUCAGCUAGAGGCAUGCAAGUCUUUUCCAGUGUUUUGCUAGCUUGUAUGGCUGCACUGGCAUAUGUAAUAUGAAUGGUGAUGGUGCCAAUUUAAAAUACAGAAUAGACCAAUCAAAAAAUGGGCUAAAGAACUAAAUAGACGUUUCUCCAAAGAAAACAUAUGGAUGGCUAACAAACACAUGAAAAGAUGCU